ensembl:snRNA U6 U6 spliceosomal RNA
AUGCUCGCUUCAGCAGCACAUACACUAAAAUUGGAACGAUACAGAGAAAAUCAGCAUGGAUCCUGUGCAAGGAUGACAGGCAAAUUCAUGAAUUGUUCCAUAUUUAA